CCAGUGGAGAAUCGGCUGCGCACCCCGUAGUCACUUGGCAGGAUCCGAGAUUUGUCUCGGGGCCUGUGGCUCGUCGCUUCACCUCACUGGGGAGAGCCUCUCCGAGUCGUCAGGCUGGUUUUUCAAGAGGCUCCUGUCAAGUUUGUCACGAAUCAGUCGCAUGGAGAAGAAACCCUGGACAGAGCCCAGCGCUAAAAGGCACGAAUGCGAGCGGUGUCCGUACACCACGGAUCGCACUGGAAACAUGAAUCAGCACCUGAGAACUCACACGGGCGAAAAGCCAUUCAAGUGCACCGUGUGUGUGAAGGCAUUUUCUUCCUCACAAAAUCUUAAAAUUCAUCAGAGAACACACACAGGGGAGAAGCCAUUCAUGUGCACUGCAUGUGGGAAGGCAUUUGCUCUCUUACAAACUCUUCAAUAUCAUCAGAGAACACACACAGGGGAGAAGCCAUUCAUGUGCACUGUGUGUGGGAAGGCAUUUGCUCUCUUACAAACUCUUCAAUAUCAUCAGAGAACACACACAGGGGAGAAGCCAUUCACGUGCACCGUGUGUGGGAAGGCAUUUGCCCGUUCAAACUAUCUUCUAGUUCACAAGAGAACGCACACAGGUGAGAAGCCCUUCAAGUGCACUGUGUGUUGGAAGGCAUUUGCCUCUUCAAACUACCUUCAAAUUCACA